rnacentral:rRNA from 1 species
AGAGUUUGAUCAUGGCUCAGGAUGAACGCUAGCUACAGGCUUAACACAUGCAAGUCGAGGGGAAACGACAUCGAAAGCUUGCUUUUGAUGGGCGUCGACCGGCGCACGGGUGAGUAACGCGUAUCCAACCUGCCCACCACUUGGGGAUAACCUUGCGAAAGUAAGACUAAUACCCAAUGACGUCUCUAGAAGACAUCUGAAAGAGAUUAAAGAUUUAUCGGUGAUGGAUGGGGAUGCGUCUGAUUAGCUUGUUGGCGGGGUAACGGCCACCAAGGCUACGAUCGAGGUAGGGGUUCUGAGAGGAAGGUCCCCCACAUUGGAACUGAGACACGGUCCAAACUCCUACGGGAGCA